ACCCGUCUAGCUCAGUCGGUAGAGCGCUGGCCUUUUAAGCCAGUGGUCGUGGGUUCGAGCCCACGGGGGGUG
rnacentral:tRNA from 1 species